AUGAACAAAUUACCGCGAUUGUUGCCCGUAUUGAGCAACUCCAAAUUUCCGCCAGCAUCCGUAGAUCCAUAGGCGUGACACCUGAAUGUUAUACCACACGUCUUCCACUCCUUCUCAUCACGAGCAUGUCAACUUUAUUCUGGCUUUAAUGGUCUUAUCCUCAAAGCGGAAGACUUUUCAGCACAGGCACGGGCUAAAGGUACCCUGUCAUGACGCUAACAUCGCGGCGCACUUUGGCAAUGAGACCUAUUUUAUAAUACACAGGAGACAUCCGCCGGGGAAUCUCAGCGUUGUUACUAGUGCUUAUUUCCAACGCCCACGGACGAAGCUCGUGCCUUACUGUACAAAAGACACGAGACCUUUUCCCCGGAUCAAUCGAUAGCUGGGAGCCAACCGAGGCAACACUACGUCUUUGGCUGGCGAAAGGUCUCGACACCCCGGUCCCGCCAAACACUACGCUCUCCCCAUGUACGGAGUCAGAGGUGCCGUCCCCACACUGCUCGUACUGACUUGGGUGUCCUAUGCGUACUGCUACUAUGUACCCUCCCGGUCGGCGCUGCAAUUCAUUCUGGAGAGGGCGCAAGAAGAAGAGGAGGAGGACACGACGGGCUACUUGUCGUCGCUACUUCGACCAAUACCUACAACACAACCUUCCGUCCUCCUAGACUUGCCUUUUGAACCAGAGACGGAUCUAUCCGAACUUUUUAAGAGACAAGAUGACAUUCUAUCCAGCGGAGAUGCCGACCCAGAAGCGGUUUCCGAAAGGACGCCCGGUAGACGAAGGCCAUAUCGACCCCCCAAACAGAAGGGUCGGAACAGAGGGAAGGGGAGGGCAAGAUCAAGAUACAGGGGUAGGAAUAAGAACCGGAAUCGGAACCGGAACCGGAACCAGAAUCGUAAUCGGAACAGGAACAGGAACAAGAACGGGAACAAACAAAAAGGCCGACUUUCUCCCUCUGCGCAUGACCGUAAAAGCAGAUUCGUCCUGGCUUUGGCAUCGCUAGCACAACGAGUUAAAACAGGACGCAGUGAAGCCUGCCAUAGACACUUUCAUCGCAUUUUCAACGAUACGAGGGAAUGCAAAAUACCAGCUCUCUUUCGCAAGUGCGAAACGCUGUUGUCCAGGCUAGUUGAGAGUCCACAGUGCCAGAGAUCAGGGUAAACGUCAAGCAAUGCCCUCAGCGUCAUACAAAGGCUCCAGGCCCAAAGGCUGUCAGCGUCUCGGGAAAACCUUGCACAACCCAGAUUGCAGCUGCCGCGAAAAAUUCUGCAAAGGUGAUGUGGCACGAGAAGAGCACAGUCUCAGCGGCCGGUGUCUACUGUCUUCCACCUGCAAUCGCCAAUGUGAGAUAUGUUCGACCAAUGGCAGGGGAUAGCGGUGGCUGGUAGAGCAAGAUGGGUACCUGCAGUCCCAAUUGAAUAGCUUGUACAAGGUUUUCCCUUUGAAACAUGGACUUCAGAUACCAAAGAGUCCUCCCAAUGGAGCCGGCAAUUGCUGUUGGAAAAACGAAAAGCAAAAUGUGUUUAAACGUUGCUCAUGUGCCUCCGGUACAUAAAGAUUAGCUUAUUGGUUGCCAUAGUAAUAACAGCAUUGAGGAAGUAAAAGUACUUGCAGGGCGAUCAAACGGAUUCAUUUAGAUGCCAAUAGUUUUUUUUAGUUGUUUUUUCAGCAGAAAUUUGACAAUUCAUAAGAGAAGAUAUAGUGCGGAUUUUACAUCUUUCAUGUAACGUGUUCAUUUACAAUUGACUCUCUCCAAAACGUGCGACAAAUUUGCAGCGAAUGAGUCCAGCCGUGAAAAACAUUAUAAACAUUCGGUAUGAUUAGUGUCUAUGCCUGAACGUGAAGCCCUAGCACUUGUCUAGCAAUACAGCUGUUGUCCAACUCCUGUUCUUACCAGUAGCAGAGAUGCUCAUUGAAGAAGUUGGGAUCAAUUAUGCUGCCAUGUGAUGCUAUUCUAUCAGGCUAAACUAACAACCAAUCCUUCACUAGGGACAAGUUUGCUGGUCCACGGUCUUAUUCAAUGAUGGCGCUGGGCGUCAUCUUGUGCUUAUGUAUGUCAUGUGACUGCCCUCUCCAUGUUCAUGAGCAUACUGCCAGAGGGUUGCAAACGUGCAAGACCAUCCCGCGUUUGGUCACAUGAAGGUAACAUUUCUAUCGAUACAAACCAUAUACCCAAGACAUUUUAACAUUUUAACCUUGUAUACAGGAAAUACAAAGGAUGUAGUAAACAGAGAUAUUGCAACAGUAGAAGAAGCUGCAUAUAGUAUUUCUCAGAAACUCAGGAAAAAUGCAUGAUUAGACAGACUUUGCCAAUGUACGCACCGGACAGACCAUUGUCAUAUGAUAAGCAGUGCUAGCGAAUAAACGAUGCCAAAAGUGAGACUGUCCCAAUACCACAGUCUCAUCUAUAGCAGUGCUCUGUGUAACCAACUAAACGUCUGUGUGUUCUCUGUCGUUAACCUUUGUUGACAUAAAGCAGAGACUCUAACAUGCAGAUGGUACCUAUUUAAAAUGCAGUCCUACGAUGUUGAGGACAACGCUGCAGAUAAUGGUGCGUGAGGUAGUGACUGUUUAUAGUGUCGUGUCAAAAGAUUGAUCAACAAUCAAGAAACAGAAGGCAUAAGAUAAAGUGUAGCUUUGUGAAAUCGGGUUGUGUGUUGAGCGGUUCGCAGACUAGGGACAAUGUAUGAAUCCUCCAUGUACAAACGAUAAAUUUGACCAUACGGGAAUGUUUCCUAAUCCGUUAGCAAGGAUACCAUUAAGUUAGCGAUGUUUUUGGACGUCGUGCUAGGGUCACAGCCCACGACCAGCCCUACGCCUGGGGGCAGUUAUUUAUAUGAAAUCCUAUUGGAGAUGACAAACGUAAAUUGUUAAGACUCCGGUAGUUUUCACUGCCGGUAAAUGACGUAUGCAUUCCCAGCAUACAACUGACGCUAUCAGUAGCGAAUAAAGAAGAAAAGAAAGAUUUAUUGACCAUGACGGGUACCAAAUGUAACUCACGUAUAUUUAGACUCUUCUGACCUCGUGUUAGAAGUAAGGGGAGGCCAACACAACACAAGAGUUCCAUAAGGACAACUACCUACCUCCUUCAAAUUGUAAAAACGAGCUGUCAUAGAAAAUAACUUCUCACAAAGAUCGGAUCUUAUACAGACAGGUAGCCAGAAAAACGUCAGUACAGUUCUUAUAACUUGGGGACGAACGUCAAACGCCGCACACUUGAACUUAUUUCGAAAUCUAUCAGUUAAAUAAACUGUGAAGAUCAAAUAUAAAAGACGCAUCCCGAUGAUCUGCCCAAGGGAGACUUGGAGUUCUCCAUGGACCGAUAUCACCGGUCAUUUAAGAGAUGGCCUUCCCUGAUCGUUGGACUGAUGUGAGGUGUUUGCCUUUCCUUAAUGGGUUUGCUUAAUUCGGCUUUAAGUCGUUAUUGUGCAAUACUAUUUGUCGCUCGGUAGCGUUGACACACGUAAUUGCCCACCGAUUGUAUCUGAUCCAAGCUGUAAAAGAAAUAUCUCGUCGGAAAUGGUCAGGAUAAUACAGCAGACAUGUAGGAAAUUACCAACUGGCAUACAAAGGAGCCUGGAGCAAUAAACACUAUAAUCAGGAAUAUCUGUUACAGUAUAGGACUUCAUGUAAGACCUCAUUAAGAGUAAGUCUGUCUGUGCCGUGACGUGAUUUACGUACAGUGUGGAUAUUCGUGAAACCACUUUGUUCUGUUAAAAAGCCCAUUGGACCAAAUAACUAUGGAUAAUGUGUAAUGUAAGAAUAGCGCCAAGUUAGAAAUUUACGAAACUCAAGUUUUGCUUCGCUUGCACUGAUUUUCCUAUCGUCUUUAUCUGUCUGGAAAUGUGCGGUCGUCCUUACAGAGCUUGGUCCAGCUAGCUGAACUCAGUUGUAAGCUUCAUAUACACAUGCCCGCUGGGUGCACAUGUGGUAUCUACGACCUUGCCGAAGGUCUCUACUGUUGAUAGUAUUCUAUGUGAACAAUGCACCCAAAUGUCAAAGGUUUCCACUUGCUUAGUACUUACUGUCAUCUUUAAAAAACUACCAUGUUUCUACAUUCCACAGAACCAUACUAGAUUAGAAUUUACCAACUAAGCGGUAACGUUAGUGUGAUAUAAUGGUAAAAUUAGUUUGCAUCUGCUGUAUUUAAAAAAACAACUUUGCGUCAUGUGGUUCCCUGUUUGUGCAAGGCUAAGUAACUGAUGAGGCUAUAAUGUACCAUACCCAUGUCAUUUACAGGAUUGAAACUCGUUUGCCAUCAGUUGAAUAGUUUCUUUAGACAAUUUAUUACGUCGAAGAACGGAUGAGUUGAUCCCAUACCCGUCAUUCUCUACAGAGGAAGUCAUUUUGAAUUUGCGUCUGUUUUGAUGCAGAUAUAAUGCGUGCCAUGCAGUCAUAUUUUCCUUCCUUUGGACCCUAUUAGAUGCUGCAUGUCGUGAAGUGAUUGAAUUUGACACAGUGUCCGAGAAGCAUAUUGAAUCAAGGAAAUAGCGUAGGAGUUAGAUGCUGAUUUGUGCCUAUCAUCAAGAAUAACUUCUAGAUAUUACAGUGUAUUGAUUUCCUAAAACUAAACGGUUGGAUGAUGUUCCUGAGAUUUUUAGUUACACGGAAAAAAACAAGCUGCCCUAUCCUGUAAUCAUUUAAUCAAGACGAUGCUGAUAGUUGAAGAAGAAUUCGGCGAUGAGAACGCGAAUCCUUGAGGCUCAGAGUUUCUCAAUUUCUACAUUUGAGAUACAAUGCUGCUUGUCGAUUGGUAGAUUGACAUGUGAAGACAUUGAAAACACAUUGUGAUCGCUCUAGACGUUAUAUUAUACAAUGCUAUAGAUCGGAACAGAUGGUCCGGAUUUUAAACAAAGUGAUGAAAUGGUUGCCAUGGGCAUUGAAAUUAGCUCAUAAUUCCAACUGGGGGCGAAACUAGCUAUAACUAUAAUACCUUUCAUUGAUUUAUUGUCUCCUGGAAAGAUUUUGCAAUUAUCUUGGAUGAUAAAAAUUACAUUUAAAGUUACGAUGGGAGUCCCAAUGCGGACAUGCCCUAGUUUCAUGUAUUAAGACUGCAUCUUGCUUAAUGUACUGGCAUAUUGUUGUCAGAAAGUUACAACAAGAGAUAUUUGUUGAAGAAGACUGAGCAUUACUUUUGGAAAAUAAAGAAGAAAACAUUCAUGUUAUCUUGUGUGCCUCGAUCAUUUUACAUGGGGAAAACUCAAUA